AGUAAGAUAAGCUAAACUAAGCUUUUGGGCCCAUACCCCAAAUAUGAUAAUAUAUUUGUAUCUCUUACUA
rnacentral:tRNA from 2 species